UUCUCGUCUGUAGCCAGAGAGCCCCGCGCGGCCACGGCGACCUCACGCCGCCUCGCGCCCCGCCACUAGCUUCGAGCACUCGUAAACGAUAACCGGUUUGCCCCGUCGCGUCGUUAUGCGACCAAUAACAAACUUGUGUUAAACUAAGACUUGUAAGAGCUUUUUCAGCCUGCCCGACUAAGUUUCGUUAAGUGCGCCAAUUGACACUUUUGUGAUGUGUUUUAAGUUUGUAACUCGGUUACAGUGAAGUUAUGAAGUGACAUAAAGUAUCGUGAUUACGUGCCGCGAUCCCGUAAUUUUGGUUUGUUGACAAGUUAAUUGCGUUCACGGUUCAACCCACAAAUUGAUGUGCCAAGUCAGAAAGUUCAAACUUUGGGUCUCUGUGGAAGGAACAGCUAAUUAGACUGUUUAUGACAACAUUUUCAAAAGGAUCGUGAGCGGCCCAGCUUAAACAUGUCAUAAGUUACCGAUUGGAUAUGAGACGAUGAGCCAUGGAAUCACAAAGCGCGCCGCCAAGCCCCGAGGAGUCGGGGGAGGCGGUGUACGACCCCAGGUGCGGCCGCUACCAGCUGCAGCACACGCCCGCGCUCCAGCGGACCUUCGCCAGCUGUCGCGAAACCACGCGACCCAGGCCUCACCACCGCCACGCCGUCUCAGAGCCUGCACGCCCCGACGACCGGGUGCUCACCACCGCAGAAGUACACGACUAUCCUUCCUCCGAAUCAGGCAUCGCCGCCGAUUGUCCACACCCCCACACGAGCAACGACGAGAGUCCCUCUUACGAUCGAUCUGACUAUGAAGGAAAUUCAAGCUACAGUCUCAGGCACACACCUGAUUACCAUCAUACCUUAGAUUGUAAACACAGGCCGGUCGAUUAUAAUCGUAGUCAUACACCUGAUUAUAAUCACGGUCAUGGGUCGGACUGUGAGCGUGGCCACACGCGCACCCAGGGUCGCCGAGCUCACAGAAAGCACAGGCGGGAAGAGGACGAUGGAGCGCAAUCACUUGACGAGCGUUGUGCUAGGGACUUGGAUGAAAUUCUACCAGCUCGGCUAGCCGCUGUUAACUUGUCAAGAGAACCGCCUCCUCAAACGUGGAACAGAAGCAAUAUUGCUGCUACAAUGGAAAGGUUCGAGCCCGUUGACUAUUCAUAUGCCUACUAUGAUCACCAUUUAUCAAUGCCGUCGUCGUCAAGAAAGGCUAACAGACAUCGAGGACGCGGUGGGAUACCACGAGAUCGUACAGCACGUCACAAUUAUGUCACUCGAUACGGAACCGAGGAAAAUAUCUAUGAAGAAAUAACAGACGGAACAAGAACUUGUCCUAAACAUAGAUACGCACCACGACAAUCGCUCGUCUCUCUAGACAGGAGCGUCGUAGAAGAGGAAGUUCGCCGGGUAGAGUCGAGGCACAAAAGAAUUUUAGGAGAGCUAAAUCUAAGUGUCGAAGCGAUGUUAAUGCCAGAAUGCGAAUCACCAGAUUCGGAGCGAGCUGAAGAUAGGGAUAAUAUAGAAGAAUUGCUAAGAGUCGGGCCAACAGAUGAAUUACUUUCACCUGCGAGCUGUAAUCCCCCGGAUUUGGAUAGCGGGUUUAGUGGGAGCAGCAGUGGAGCGAGUUACGUUGGCAGUUUGCGACGAAAGCCGACUGGGUCGGUGCCUCACUUACCGGCGGUGGCGUACGGCACGCGCGGAGCCGGAGUCCGCAUACUGGGCGCUGAUGAAUGCAGCGUGCGUUGCCCUAGGGACACCACCUCGCCCCGCAGUUCUAGCUGCGGUGACGCCAAAACGACGGGGUUUUGGAAUAAGAAGUCCUGGAAGAAAAUAUCAGGUUUCUCUAGCUCAAACAGCAUCAACAAAGCCGGUCUCACUGGUCUGCUCGUUAGGUACACUUUCCGGCGUAAGUCCGGGUCGCAGGGCUCUCAGAGCAAGCGGCGUGCCGAGCCGGUCACAUGCGAUGCGUGCCUCUCACAACGAUGUUAGCCGCACCAUGAUGACGCCUGUAGGCCAAGCCGAGCUAAGUCCAGAACAGCCACUAUACCAUACAGCUACUCCAACGGAAAACUGGUGGUGCCGCUGGAUUCCCUAGCGCAGAGCUGAGGGGCCGAGGCCCCUCGCACUCCCGGCCUCCAACUCAUCUGAAGGGCUCCUCACGAUCGGGCCGCGAUAAGCGCACCUCCUCUGCCCUCCAAGUAGAUACAUCAGAAACCUCACAACAAAAACAUUCCAUUACGAAAACCUUGCAGUAUGUCUCAAAGACAGACUGCAGUGCGAUCGUGUAAGAAAAUGUAAAAUAGCAUGUGUAAAUAAAUCAAGAGACUUCGGGAAAGUACGCGGCGAGUAUACGUUGAAGUGAUAGAAAAGCCUAAAUAAAUAUUGUGUUGUUUUGACAACCGUUUCAUAGAAACGUAAGGACUACGUUGUUACUACUUAUCAAUUUUUAGUAGUUACUAGGUACCUACAUGAAAAGGCUGACACAGUUAAAUCGCAUUUUGUAAAUGGUAAUUGGAAAUCGUUGGCAUUAGCUGGUACAUAUUAAUUAAAUAACUAUUUGAUGUUUGUCUGUAACUUUUCUAUACAUACCUAUACUAUCACACGUAGAUAUGUGUAAAAAGUAUUGUUGUCUGCUGUUUUAGUAAAUUUUAAUGGUGCCUAAUAAAGCCUGAUAAUGUUCGCAUACGUUGCUGUCAAGAUAAAAACACCAUUUCGUACAAUAUUAAGCACUAGUUUUUAUUAAAAAAUCGUAUAACUAUUUAUUAGAUCAUUAUUACAGAGUGCUAGACUCCAUCUAUUCAAUGAAACAUGCUCCAGGCCUAAUUUUGCACCAAUUACAUUAUUAUAAAAACAUUUUAACGUUUGAACAAAACUUUCAAAAGUAAGGAACCAUUACGAGUAGCAUGUCAAGAAACCUUUGGUCCAACAUAUUUAUUUAAAACUAAGAAUCUGUGUAAAAAUAUCGUUUUUUAAAGAAAAUGUUGUUCUCGAGUCCAUUGUUAAUAGUUGUUAGUGUGUAAUUGUAUAUUUUGUAAAUACGUAAGCAUACAGUGCACUGUUUUUUUGUUACGGAAACUUUUUUGCAUCGUUAUUUGAAAGGCUUUUAUAAAAAAAAUAUCACAGAUAUUAUAGUGGUAAAAAACCUAAAAUACAUCUCAAUUUUGCAGCAAUCGAAAAGAAUGUUUUAUAUUUGAGUGAUUGAGAUAAAAAAUAUUUACGAUUUGACAAUAUUUAUAUAAAUCUGCACUCAAAUAUAAACAAAGGAGCACAAUUUAUACUCUCUUUGUAUUUAUUCUGAAAUCACAAUUACUAGAAUGUUGUAAUUUACCAUUUACCUAAAAAGUAAGGAUGUGAACAAUAUAAUUGCUGGUAAAAAAAUAAAUUAGACACUUGUCACUUAGGUACCUAAAUAUGUACGCUAUUUCUAAAUUUUCUUAAACCUUCACGUAAGUUUUAUUCUUUCUACUUAUUUAUAGCUCAUCGUUAUUUAAUUUAUUACCAUGUCACAUGAACUUUCAUCUACCUACAUAAUUACAUAGGGUGCAUUUGAAGUCGAUUCGAAGUUGCCGGAUUCGAACUUUAAGAUACGUCAAUUAAUAGAUCUGGAAACGAUAUGGAUUAGAAGUGACGUUUUUGUUUGAAGAAACGUCACAUUUGACACUGACAUAUCUAAUUCAUAUCGUUUCUAGAUCUAUUAGUUGAUGUAUCUUAAAGUUAGAAUAGGGCCAUUAGUUAUACCUAUAUAAUAUUUAUUCUAGCCAACAUUAAAAAGGGAAUAUUAUUUACAGAGCAAUAUAAAUAGAACACUGAAUGGACAUUGUAUGAAAAAUGUUGUAUAUAAUCAAUUGCUCUACCCAUUGUUUAUAUCCUAUUUAUUUUAAACACCCCGGAACUAUAUACUGCCUGCACAUUAACACUGCCAGUCUACCUAGUUGUGACAAGUGUCUAAUAUUACCUUUUAUUGAUACAUAUUUAUAAUGAUUGUAAAUAAUUAUUAAUUUAAAUUCAUAUUUGAAUCAGUCAGUGAGACUUAAGUAAAUAGGUAUGUAACUAUUGUGCUAAGCUGGACUGAUAAGAGGUAAACACUCUCAAUGUUAUAUUUCUUUUACUGUCUGUAAGAAUUUAGCGACCGUGUUCAAGUCAAAAGAGAUUUUUAUUAAAUAAAUCAUAAAAGUCA